AACGUAGGUUCCGAGCGUUAUCCGGAUUUACUGGGCGUAAAGCGCGUUCAGGCGGUUCGGCAAGUCGGGCAUGAAAUCUCUCGGCUCAACCGGGAGAGGUUGUCCGAUACUGUUGGACUUGAGGGCAGUAGAGGGUGGUGGAAUUCCGGGUGUAGUGGUGAAAUGCGUAGAUAUCCGGAGGAACACCAGUGGCGAAGGCGGCGUUCUGGACUGCAACUGACACUGAGAGACGAAAGCCAGGGGAGCAAACGGG
rnacentral:rRNA from 1 species